rnacentral:rRNA from 1 species
UACAGAGGUCUCAAGCGUUGUUCGGAUUCAUUGGGCGUAAAGGGUGCGUAGGCGGCGCCAUAAGUCAGGUGUGAAAUCUCGGGGCUUAACUCCGAAACUGCAUUUGAUACUGUGGUGCUUGAGGACUGGAGAGGAGACUGGAAUUUACGGUGUAGCAGUGAAAUGCGUAGAGAUCGUAAGGAAGACCAGUGGCGAAGGCGGGUCUCUGGACAGUUCCUGACACUGAGGCACGAAGGCCAGGGGAGCAAACGGG